rnacentral:rRNA from 1 species
GACGAACGCUGGCGGCGUGCCUAAUACAUGCAAGUAGAACGCUGAAGAGAGGAGCUUGCUCUUUUGGAUGAGUUGCGAACGGGUGAGUAACGCGUAGGUAACCUGCCUGGUAGCGGGGGAUAACUAUUGGAAACGAUAGCUAAUACCGCAUAAAAUUGAUUAUUGCAUGAUAAUUAAUUGAAAGAUGCAAUUGCAUCACUACCAGAUGGACCUGCGUUGUAUUAGCUAGUUGGUGAGGUAACGGCUCACCAAGGCGACGAUACAUAGCCGACCUGAGAGGGUGAUCGGCCACACUGGGACUGAGACACGGCCCAGACUCCUACGGGAGGCAGCAGUAGGGAAUCUUCGGCAAUGGGGGGAACCCUGACCGAGCAACGCCGCGUGAGUGAAGAAGGAUUUCGGUUCG